rnacentral:rRNA from 1 species
GACGAACGCUGGCGGCGUGGAUUAGGCAUGCAAGUCGAACGGUAUCAUCCUUUCGGGGGUGAGAGAGUGGCGAACUGGUGAGUAACACGUAGGUUAUCUACCCUCAAGACGGGGACAACCCAGGGAAACUUGGGCUAAUACCGGAUGUGAGCAACUUUUAGUUGUUUGAAAGGUGGCGUAAGCUGUCGCUUGGGGAUGAGCCUGCGUCCUAUUAGCUAGUUGGUGAGGUAACGGCUCACCUAGGCAAUGAUAGGUAGGCGGCCUUAACGGGUGGUCGCCCACACUGGGAUUGAGAUACGGCCCAGACUCCUACGGGAGGCAGCAGUCGAGAAUAGUCUACAAUGGUCGGAAGACUGAUAGUGCGACGCCGCGUGAACGAUGAAUCCCUUCGGGGUUAAAGUUCUUUUAUAUGUGAGCAGUGCUUCUUAUAUUAACAGUAUGGGGAAGAGAUAUUAGCAUAUGAAUAAGCAACGGCUAACUCCGUGCCAGCAGCCGAGGUAAAA